rnacentral:rRNA from 1 species
UGGAUCCAGACUUUGAUCCUGGCUCAGGACGAACGCUGGCGGCGUGCUUAACACAUGCAAGUCGAGCGAAGCUUGAUUUAUGAUUUCUUCGGAAUGAAUAAUGAUAUGACUGAGUGGCGGACGGGUGAGUAACGCGUGAGCAACCUGCCCUUCGGAGGGGGAUAGCGUCUGGAAACGGACGGUAAUACCGCAUAAAGUGUCUUGACCGCAUGAUCGAGAUACCAAAACUGAGGUGCCGAAGGAUGGGCUCGCGUUGGAUUAGAUAGUUGGUGGGGUAACGGCCUACCAAGUCGACGAUCCAUAGCCGGACUGAGAGGUUGAACGGCCACAUAGGGACUGAGACACGGCCCAGACUCCUACGGGAGGCAGCAGUGGGGAAUAUUGCACAAUGGGGGAAACCCUGAUGCAGCAACGCCGCGUGAAGGAAGACGGUUUUCGGAUUGUAAACUUCUGUUCUUAGUGAAGAAUAAUGACGGUAGCUAAGGAGCAAGCCACGGCUAACUACGUGCCAGCAGCCGCGGUAAUACGUAGGUGGCAAGCGUUGUCCGGAAUUACUGGGUGUAAAGGGAGCGCAGGCGGGAAGCCAAGUCAGCUGUGAAAACUACAGGCUUAACUUGUAGACUGCAGUUGAAACUGGUUUUCUUGAGUGAAGUAGAGGUUGGCGGAAUUCCGAGUGUAGCGGCGAAAUGCGUAGAUAUUCGGAGGAACACCGGUGGCGAAGACGGCCAACUGGGCUUUAACUGACGCUGAGGCUCGAAAGUGUGGGGAGCAAACAGGAUUAGAUACCCUGGUAGUCCACACUGUAAACGAUGAUUGCUAGGUGUGGGGGGUCUGACCCCUUCCGUGCCGCAGCUAACGCAAUAAGCAAUCCACCUGGGGAGUACGACCGCAAGGUUGCAACUCAAAUGAAUUGACGGA